UUUUAGGAAUGAGCAAAGAAAGUGGUUUCUUGAGAUGACAUCUACUCCUGGUGAAGAUGCUGUAAA
rnacentral:pre_miRNA from 1 species